GUCGGGGUAGUGACCGGUGAAUAUCGUGGGGCGGCUGGGCACGCA
rnacentral:sRNA from 1 species